rnacentral:lncRNA from 1 species
GUUGUCCUUGGGCAGAUUCUUCUCCUCAACGCCCAUAGCUUCAUGGCUUUUAUGCUAGAUUUACUGAUGUCUCUUCAAACUUCGAAGAGUUUCAACUCCUUUUGAAUGCAUAUGUGGAGACAUCUAACAUAUUUUAUGAAGACCGCAAUAUUAUCGAUGAAGAUCUCAAGUGAGAAAUCUUACUUGUAGAAAUUGAUAGUGUAAUCCUGGAG